AGUUGAGUUCAGCUCAUGAAAAUGAUUGCAGUUGUGAUGAUCAUUACUUUUUAUAUGUACUAAAUGUGUCACAUAACAUGUCUGUCUGACAAAUCUAGUCUCAAUAAUAUAAGACCUCUUUACUUUCUAAUUUAAUUAACCCAAUAUCUCUCUUAGAUGAAGUUACACGGGUAUAGAUUUGCAUGCAAGUCUACAUUUGGUUCUCUUUGUCGUUAGUUAUUUUUUGUUUCAAUAAUGUACUUGAAUACACACUAGUGCUGUCAAGUUUAAACAGUACAAUAUGGUAUUUGGAAGAGAGAUUCUAGAUUUAUUUUGAAUCUGUUAUUCAGUUAGGGAAGAGGUGUGUAUCUUGCUAUAGAAGAGCUAGUGGUACUUCUUGGGUACCUUUGACCUUCUCAUGUCUUACUCUGAACGCCCAUCAUCCUAUUCUCUUUUUCUAGGCUCUUCAAAUCAAAGGUAGUCGUUUGCUGGGUUGCUGAGCAUAAUUUUUGUUCAUUCAAGUGAAUUUGAGUAAAUGUCUUGUUUGUUUUCAUGCUUCUAUUGAACUCCACGAGUACUACCCGUUUGUUGUCGUCUUUAAUGCACCAAGCUGACCAAAUUUGUGGAAGUGAAAGAAGAUACUCUUAGCUAUUGUUGAAAUUUUUUUUUUUUCUGAUUCUGCCUGAUAAGAUACUGAUAUAGUUUUCUUGUGGCAGUAAACCUUAAGAUAUUUAUUCUACUUUAUAGUGUAAGCAUUUCAAAUGUUAGUUUUUUGAAUGAGGGCCUGAGUUAAGCGCUAGUUUUACUCUUGAUGACCUUAGCAUCAACUAGAUUUAGAUUGUUUUUCUUAUUGUGCAGGUUCAGUUCUCACUUCUGAUCUGAUGGUGUUUACUGUUGGUCACAUUGUUGAUUUUGAACUGAAGGAUGAAUAGAUGUCAAGUCCAUGUUUGUAGGCGCAUUGUGGUUAUUGGUUAAACCCUGUGUUCUCUUCAAAAUAGAGUAGCUCAGUCUGCUGUUUUGCAGUUAUAUAAGUUGUCUCUUUCGGGGAGAGCAAAGUAUAUGUGUGGGGGGAUGAAGGUUGAUUUUCAGAAGUUCUGUUGGAGUGGUAGUCAACUUUAUAUGUUUCGGUUUGAAGUUGUGAAGUAGUAAUUCAGGUUGGAUUCGUUAAUGUCUGUGUGCUCAGCGGAUGUCACCUAGAUAAUCUGCAGCCUGCAUUUUGAUCUAUCAUGAGAUGUGAUAUCCUAAAAUUAUCUUGUGGGAAUAAUCAAAAUGGUGUGCCCUUAAUGUUGUACCGACUGGGUUUAUCUGGUGAUGGAUGGUGGCAUAAUUUUGGGAUUGCUGUGAGUGCUGCGAUAUGCAUUAGUUACCUCCAGAAAUUUUGUGAUUUACACAUUGGUUGCAGAGCAUUAGGUGGCAGUAAGCUUGAUCAUAGGGGAAAACAAUAAUUAAAAGCAUGGAGAUGCUAAUGUCUAUAUAGCUGAAGUUCAAGGCCUGAUGGCUUCAGGUUUACAUAGGUCAUGAGCUUGGAGGGGAAACUUGUACCUAAUGUCUCACGACUGAAACCAAAAGUCCGAAUGAUCAUAAUUUCACUUCCUAGAUGGAGUGUCUUGACUGGAGUGCUGAUUGCAUAUUAAUUAACUAUGCUGCUGGCAAGGCUUGUUUUUGCUGCUGUAAACUAAAGAACAAUUAUGAGACUUGGGCAUUAGGGAGUGGCCCCUUGUGUCUUAGACAUCUUCUUUUUUACUCAUCUUCAGGAAUAUCUAUAAACAUGUAUAUGAACUGUGGAAGCUUGUUUUAUGCAGAUUAUUGCAUAUGCUUUUCUAGGGGUACACAUACAACCCUUGAUUUUGUAUCAUAAAAGACUUCAAUAGUAACAAUCGACACUGUCUUAUUAUAAUCA